GUAAUUUAUUUAGUUCUGGUUAUGGAAGAAACACUAGGCACUAAUCACAUAAGAGGUUUAUAUUCAGUAGUGUAGAAAGAGAUGUUACAUUAUUAGUGAUGGGUUCUUGUUUUUGGGGUAACUCAGAAUAGGGUGUUCUUGUGGGAAAUGGUUAAUUCUCAGUGCCAGCCUCCGCGGUUAAUCUGUAGUUUCGUUCUUCUUAUCAGUUGAAAUUUUUUAGAAGUGAAUAUGUGAAGAUAGAGGUAGAAUUUUCUUUGUUUGGUAUAGAGCUUUUAAGAUGUUUUAAAAUUUCUUUUAUAAAAGAGGAUUAGAUACCCUCGUAUAGGAGAGGAAAAAUUUUGGUGUCUGUAGUGUGAACUAAAAGAAUUUGGCAGCCGACGAAGUUCGUCCGGGGGAGUGUGUUCUUUAAAAAGACGGUCCGCUUAAUAGUUUACCUCUUUAUAUGGUUAGUGUAUAUCCGGUUAAAGAUCCGUAAUUAGUGUUACGGGUGUAGGUAGUUGGAUACUUAAUCCAGGUCUUUGUGCUGCUGAUGAAGGGGGUAGUUAAUGCGCUACGUUAUUAAAAGAUUUUAAUGUAAAUUUUGAGAUGUAUUUAGGACUCGGUAGUAGGUAGGGUUUAGUAUGCCUUUUCGAAGAGGAUUUAGUUGGGGUACACACCGCCCGUCACUCAGGGCGUCAGCUCUGAUAAGUCGUAACAUGGUAACGUUGGGGGAACCGGACGUUAGUAAAUUCAUUGUAUAUUAAGUGAGUUU
rnacentral:ncRNA from 1 species